GAUGAAUGCUGGCGGCGUGCCUAAUACAUGCAAGUCGAGCGGUAAGGCCCUUCGGGUACGACGAGCGGCGGACGGCUGAGUAACGCGUGGGAACAUGCCCCAAAGUGAGGGAUAACCUCGAGAAAUCGAGGCUAAUACCGCAUAUGGUCUUCGGAUUAAAGGAUUUAUCCGCUUUGGGAGUGGCCCGCGUACGAUUAGUUUGUUGGUGAGGUAAUGGCUUACCAAGACUACGAUCGUUAACUGGCUGAGAGGAUGAUCAGUCAGACUGGAACUGAGACACGGUCCAGACUCCUACGGGAGGCAGCAGUAAGGAAUCUUCCACAAUGGGCGAAAGCCUGAUGGAGCAACGCCGCGUGCAGGAUGAA
rnacentral:rRNA from 1 species